UUGGAAUUUAGUUUGAAUGUGCUCGUCUAGCUGUAGUGUUGUGCUAUGUGUCCGAUAACUUUAGCAUUGAUAGUACUGGCCUUAUUGAUAGGCCUGAUCUACAUCUUUCUGAUAUGGAAUUUCAACCACUGGAACAAACGUGGUAUCAAAACUGUUAAAUCGUGGCCACUUGUUGGAAGUUUCCCAAGUGUGUUUACCCAAAAGCGAAAUGUUGCAUAUGAAAUUCAAGAUAUAUACAACCAGUAUAAAGAUACUGAAAAUAUCGUAGGCGUGCUGAAUACCAGAUCGCCACAACUGUUGAUCUUAACUCCGGAAUAUGCGCGUGCUGUUUACGUGACAGAGUUUCGAAAAUUUCAUGACAAUGAAAUGUCUCAAUUUACCAAUGAGAAAGUGGAUAAGAUACUGGCAAACAAUCCGUUUUUGCUAUUGGGUGACAAAUGGAAGGAGCGACGCGCUGAAAUAACACCUGGACUUUCACCAAAUCGGGUUCAAGCAGUUUACUCCGUCACCCAAAACAUUUGCAAGCAGUUUGUCGACUACAUAAAGAAACAACAGCGCAUGGCGCCAUCUGGUGGUCUAAAUGCGAAAGCUCUUUGCCUUUGUUACACCACCGAAGUGGUAGCCGACUGUGUGUUGGGCAUUUCGUCGGGAAGCUUUAGUGAUAAUCCGACACCGCUUGUGGGAAUGAUUAAGCGUGUCUUUGAACACUCGUUCGGCUUCAUAUUCUUCAAUACGUUGGCAUCGCUUUUUCCUUUAAUCAGGAAGUUCUACUGUGUACCAUUCUUCACUAAGGAUGUAGAAUAUUUCUUCUUUGAUAUCAUGCAGAAGGCCAUCAAUUUGCGACGAGAAAACAAUGAGCAUCGCAACCGAGCGGACUUCCUUAACUACAUGCUUCAGCUGCAAGAAAAGAAGGGACUCGAUACAAUGAUGCUCACAUCUCACACAAUGACCUUCCUAACCGACGGGUUUGAGACCACCGCCUUGGUGCUAUCCCACACUUUGUUGCAACUUGCUCGCAAUCCGGAAGCGCAGCGUCUGCUUCGCGAGGAGGUCGCAGCAGGAGAGCUAAGCUUUGAUCAACUGAGUGAGCUGCCUUAUUUGGAUGCCUGUAUAAGCGAAACACUACGUAUAUUCCCACCGGGACUGGUGGCACGUAAACUCGUAACGGAACCCUUUCAGUUUGUUAACAAGAAUGGAGUCAACGUGGAGGUGGUUCCUGGAGACGUGGUAAUUGUGCCCAACUAUGCCUUCCACCACGAUCCGAACUACUAUGAGCAUCCAGAAAAGUUCCAACCCGAGCGUUUUCUCGAGCACAAUGGAGGCGUGCGCAAAUAUCGUGAGCAGGGACUCUAUUUUGGGUGGGGUAAUGGACCUCGUGUUUGUCCAGGAAUGCGCUUUGCACUUACCCAACUCAAAGCUGCAUUGGUUGCAAUCGUUCGUCAAUACAAUAUCAAGCCAAAUCCAAAAACACGGACCGACAACAUCUUGGAUGAAACGUAUUUCAUGGCCACCCUUAAAGGCGGCAUUUGGUUGGACUUUGAGGAGCGUGACUAAGAUAUUUUAAAUACUGAUCAUAAUAAAGCAAAUCAAUACAUAUGCAUUUCCUGAUCUAUGUAAUACUUUAAAUUUAGAGCGUUAAUACAACAUUUUUUCCCUCGGUAUGAGCCACCUAUUUAGUCGCGACUUAAAGCCAAUUGCACCAAGGGCAGGACUUUAAUAGACGAUAAGUCGGCCAAGAUGGCCUCGAUACUAUCUAGUGAGGCCACUUGCAUUAUGCUCUCUUUACGAAAACUUAAAAUUAUGAUGGCAAAUAGUGGCAAGAUUUCCAAGCUAUCAAAGCCGAGUAUCUGCAAGGGACAAGAAGAAAUAAGUUUAUCGUCAAGAGAUGGAGAAGAACAUAGAAAGGUCUUACCAAGUCCCACAGCACCAAUAACUGAUCUGGUGGCAAAUGGCCGGAGAAACCUCGCAUUAACCAUUUGAAUACUACACGUAAGCUGCAAGGUCAUAGAAAUCAGUUGAUUCGAUUGAAUGAGUUAAAUUGAGUCCAAUUGCUAUACUUACGGCUGUAUUUGCAACUCACGGAAAUGCGACCACAAUUGUGGCUCAUAAGUCUGAAGCAGCUUUUCGAAGAGCAGGCACAGGCUAACGAUACCCUGUGGAUGCGUAUUGAUUGUAGUCAAUCUAUGGCAAUAGCGUAUGUAAAAUGCCCGGAAUGUAUAAUAUAGGCACACGGGAGAAUCGUACAAAUAGCAAAAUGGGGCGGCGAACAUGCAAAUGCCGUGGAAGGGCACAACCCCCGAUGGGGGUCCCUCAUAUGUCUUGCCCUUCACUGGAAAUUGUUCGUACUCCACACAGUUGGCUAUAUCCGUGUCGCGAGAGAAGCACAGUAGCACUUGGUAGAGUACAUCUUCAAACACAAAA